UCUGGACAGCGUUCACCUUGGGCAGCUCCCUGCAAGCGGCGAAGCCAGGGCUUGGGGUGAGGCGGGGGCAGCUCACAGAGCCCCCAAGGGCCGUUCCUCCACCUAGGAGCAGCUGGGACAUGUCGCCACUUCCAGGGAGCCAUGCGGAACCAGGAAGAGCAGAGCAGAGCUGAAUGUGUUUAUGAGCAAGGAUGGUCAUGCAUGGCAGCAGGAACUCUGAGGUCAUUCUUUCCCUGUCCUAAACAAGAGAUGACUGGUGCCAAAAUUGCUUGCUGGAGAACAUAGAAUACCAUGCUCCUCAACCACAUCAAAGGUGACUGGAACCAUAGAUUUAUUGGUGGCAUCUUUCAUGGACUAAAAGAUGAAAUGAAGACAAUAGGUCAGCAUGAAGACAAUAGGUCAGCUUUUGAGGAUCAUAGACGCUUCAUCAUGUCCUGGCAAAGCAGACCUGGUAAUGAAAGCAAAACUGGCAGCAUGUUUGCUAAGAUGGUAUUUUUUAGACAAAUACAAAAGAUCAGCUACCUAAACAGGAUUUGGCAACUGUUUUGUCUUGUGUGUUAUUUCAUCUGCCAAGGAGAACUGGGCUAUUGAUCAUGCCAAAUGGACCAUCUUCAUAUGUAUCCAUGGUCUGUGCUAAAAUUAAAAGUAGUGAUAGGAGAUUGACAAUGGACAAAUGUGAGCUCCAUGCCAAGCACAUUAUGUACAAAUAACCACAGCUUAAAGAUCAUCUGCUCCUGCAGCUUGCUCAUCACAGUGCAAAGAACAGCAAAGCAAGUGCCUAAAAGUUAGGUGUUGCAAUGUGUAAGUCCCUGUGUGGAUCAGACCACUUCUGCAAUUUCAGUAGAGAAGCCAAGAGCAGGAAUGUGCAUGGAUAUUGUGACUUUCCUCCAACCCACAUUGGUCCCUAUGGAGCAAGGCACACAGAUCAUCAGUGAAAAGUGUCCUUGGAAUCGGCAGAAAAGGAGCAGGGAGUUAAAGCACUAAAAUCAGCUUUUCUUACCAUGGAAAUCAAGACUCUGACAACCAGCAUUCAAAGGCUUCAUGUGCACAGCACAUUUCAUGACUCUGAAUAUAAAACUAGUCACUCUAGCACACAGGACAU